GAUUGUGUCCAUUUAUUCUUGAAAAAUGUCGGAUGCUCAAUCCACCCAAUGACUGUGAUUAUGACUUCCAAUGCAGUGGCAACCUGAAGUGUUGUGAAGGAAUAUGUGGGAGGGUGUGUCUUCCACCAGUAUAUGCUUCUCAGAUAUUCUCCAGAACUGUAAGAUGUUAUAAGAAUAAUCCAUAUUUUAUGUACUGGGGCUGCUAAAAUCAAUAAUACAUUUUUACCUGAGCACUGGAUUCACUAAAAAACUUGUUGAACCAUGUAUAAUGACCUGAUAUUUGGAAGGAUACCUAACAUCAAUAGCGCUUCACCCACACACAUUCUUGCAGUGAAAAGUCAACAACCAAACAUCUCAUCUGAACUUCAUUUCAUCUGAAGAAGGAAAAUCCAUUUGGAUGUUGAUUGGCAUCUUCAAAAGACAACCAGCGUGUUAUAGUGCUUAAAGUGUUGGACUAGAUUAAAACAAAGGUGAUGUUUACUUAAUGCUAACAGGCUAAUCUACUUCAAAAGGCUGAUAUGAAGAAAGAAAUGGUAAUAUACAUAGAUAGAUUAUGGAUAGAUUAUGUAUAUAUGGACACACAAACAUGCACAUGCAGCUAUAUAUAUUUGAACUAUCUUUGAACUACCAAAGGAAAAGUGAGAUAGGAAUGAAAUAAACACAUAUGCACAUGCAUAUAUACAUAAUCUAUCCACCAUGAAUGCAUUUACUGACACAUAUCCAUUGCAAACCACAAUAAUUUAAAAUAUGAGGCAAAAUAAAACAAUGCUAUGGAAAACCACCAAUAAAAACAUCUCACAUAUUUUAAAAAGAUGUUAAAACAGCAUUAAAUAUCACUGGAAAGUUAGAACAAGAAGAUCCAUCUACUACAGUAGUCAAAAGUGUCACACAAAGAGUGUUUUAUCUUAAGAGAGGAAAAACAUUACAGAGGGCAGUGGUGAUAACAGAAAAGACCUAAUAACCCAGCCAUGGCUGUAUGAUCUUCCUUGAUGACCAAGCUAAUAACCACGUCAAUAGAGAGAUAAAUGCUUAAUCAGUUCUCAACCUUGACAAUUUUAAGGCAUGUGGACUUCAACUCCCAGAAGUCCACAGCCAGCAUUGCUGAUCUGGGUUGUAUAUGCUGAAGAAGCUAAUGGGGUUUUGCAGGGAUCACAUGAGAUAGGCUAUCAUUAGAUUCAGCCUACAAUACCUCCAUGAAUGCAUAGAUACACAAAGAUCAAUAACUGACCAAAAUAUUAUUUUGCCUUUUACCCCAAAUUAAAGA